rnacentral:rRNA from 1 species
UGGGAAUCUUGCGCAAUGGUCGAAAGACUGACGCAGCGACGCCGCGUGCGGGAGGAAGCCCUUCGGGUGUAAACCGACUGUUACUCGGACGAACUUCCCGAUUUGUCGGGAUUGACGGUACCGGGGGAGGAAGCACCGGCUAACUCUGUGCCAGCAGCCGCGGUAAUACAGAGGGUGCGAGCGUUGUCCGGAAUCACUGGGCGUAAAGGGCGCGUAGGCGGCUUUUCACGCGUGCGGUGAAAGCUCGGGGCUUAACUCCGAGUCUGCCGUGCGAACGGGGAGGCUUGAGUCUGGUAGAGGUCGAUGGAAUUCCGGGUGUAGCGGUGGAAUGCGUAGAGAUCCGGAAGAACACCGGUGGCGAAGGCGGUCGACUGGGCCAGUACUGACGCUGAGGCGCGACAGCGUGGGGAGCGAAACAGGAUUAGAUACCCUGGUAGUCCACGCCGUAAACGAUGGGCACUAGAUCCUUGGGGGAGCGACCCCUUGAGGGUCGGCGCUAACGCAUUAAGUGCCCCGCCG